rnacentral:rRNA from 1 species
CAGGGAUUGCCUCAGUAACGGCGAGUGAAGCGGCAACAGCUCAAAUUUGAAAGCUGGCUCCUUCGGGGCCCGCGUUGUAAUUUGUAGAGGAUGUUUCGGGCGCGGUGCCGGUCUAAGUUCUUUGGAACAAGACGUCAUAGAGGGUGAGAAUCCCGUAUGUGACUGGUUGCCUGUGCCCAUGUGAAACUCCUUCGACGAGUCGAGUAGUUUGGGAAUGCUGCUCAAAAUGGGAGGUGUAUUUCUUCUAAAGCUAAAUAUUGGCCAGAGACCGAUAGCGCACAAGUAGAGUGAUCGAAAGAUGAAAAGCACUUUGGAAAGAGAGUUAAACAGUACGUGAAAUUGUUGAAAGGGAAGCGCUUGCAAUCAGACUUGCGCGGCGUCGAUCAACCUGGGUUCUCCCUGGUGUACUCGGCGCCGCUCAGGCCAGCAUCAGUUUCGGCGGUGGGAUAAAGGCUCAGGGAACGUGAGUUGCUUCGGUGACUGUUAUAGCCCUGGGUGCAAUGCCGCCUGCCGGGACUGAGGACCGCGCUUCGGCUAGGAUGCUGGCGUAAUGGUUGUAAGCGACCCGUCUUGAAACACGGACCAAGGAGUCUAACAUCUAUGCGAGUGUUUGGGUGUCAAACCCAUACGCGUAAUGAAAGUGAACGGAGGUGAGAACCCUUAAGGGUGCAUCAUCGACCGAUCCUGAUGUCUUCGGAUGGAUUUGAGUAAGAGCAUAGCUGUUGGGACCCGAAAGAUGGUAGCGUAGUAUUGCCAUCGAAAGCUAUUGCGGAAUAGCUAGUGGGCCGUUUGUGCCUGCGAGACUUCCAAUCUGCUGAGAAUGCAAGGUUCGCCUGCUGAUCAGCAGCAUCCUUCCCCCGCGGGUAGGGUGUUCACAGACUAAAUAGAAGUCGAUUGUCUAAUGACAGUUUGAGAUAUAGCCGAGCGUCUCCCAGCCAUGGGGGAUACAAGCUGGAACUAUGCCUGAAUAGGGUGAAGCCAGGGGAAACCCUGGUGGAGGCUCGCAGCGGUUCUGACGUGCAAAUCGAUCGUCAAAUUUGGGUAUAGGGGCGAAAGACUAAUCGAACCAUUGACCUGCCUAUUAGGUGGUUGAGAGGCCUCACCGGCCUAGUCCUCCGGGGCAACAUCGCAAAAUUGCGGGGACAGCUCUAUAGACACAGGCUACCAUAGCGGGCUCGAAAGGGCCCGCCACGGUCACAACGCCUGGCCGUCUGAGCCGAUCCGCAACCCUCGCCUACAGCCCCCCCUCGGGAGGGCCACGGCGCGGGCUCAUCGACUAGAUGGCGGUGGGCAGCGCGCGUGCGUGCUGUCUAAGGUAUAGUCAGACCCGCGGGCCGAGCCGCGGGGCUGCUC